rnacentral:rRNA from 1 species
CCUACGGGAGGCUGCAGUCGAGGAUCUUUCGCAAUGGGCGAAAGCCUGACGGAGCGACGCUGUGUGAGUGAUGAAGGCUUUCGGGUCGUAAAACUCUUUUGCCUGGGAACGGGUACUAGGAGAAAAAGCACCGGCUAACUACGUGCCAGCAGCUGCGGUAAUACGUAGGGUGCAAGCAUUAAUCGGAAUUAUUGGGCGUAAAGGGCGCGUAGGCGGAUUGAUAAGUCAGAUGUGAAAUACCAAAGCUCAACUUUGGUGCUGCAUUUGAAACUGUUUUUCUAGAGGAUUGACGGAGAAAGCGGAAUUCCACGUGUAGCGGUGAAAUGCGUAGAUACGUGGAGGAACACCGGUGGCGAAAGCGGCUUUCUAGUUAGCCUGACGCUGAGGCGCGAGAGCAAGGGGAGCAAACAGGAUUAGAUACCCUUGUAGUC